rnacentral:lncRNA from 10 species
AGACCCGGGCUUGGGCCCCGCGGCGCUGCGCCUCCAACCCGGAAGAACAGCCCCAACUCCGCGGCGGCGGGCGGCCACGUGACUGCAGCUCCGCUCCCACCUCGGCCCGCGCCCCUUCCCCGCCCCAGCUUUCUUCCCGCCAGGCCCCCUCCACCCGAUCGCCGCGCGCUCUCCGAACCAAAAGGCGACCUCACGAAAUGCCCCUUUGAGCUCAAAGGCUAGUUACCCCCAGGGGCCCUUCCACUCUCGGGGACAGGCGAAACCUCUUUGUCUCUGCCUCGGCCUGCGGCCCCCAGCCCAGCCUCCGCGCUUUCCCUCCGCCAGUCCUUGUCAAUCAAACCUGGUGCCAAACGCGGCAGCUGAAGUUUUCAGGGACACAUUUGCUUCUCCCCUUGAAGAACCAGUUACAAAGCGUGAUGUCCUCUCUGGGGUCCCAUCAGAACAAAGAAACAGGGAAGCAGCGGAAUACAAGAGACUGAACUGUAUCUGCCUCUGUUUCCAAAAGAUUCACGUUCAACUUUCACUCACACAAAGCCGGGAAAAUUUUACUUUUUUUUUUUUUUUUUUAGACAGAGUCUC